CCCGGCACAAGCGGCGGAGCAUGUGGAUUAAUUCGAUGCAACGCGAAGAACCUUACCUGGGUUUGACAUAUACCGGAAAGCUGCAGAGAUGUCGGCCCCCCUUGUGGUCGGUAUACAGGUGGUGCAUGGCUGUCGUCAGCUCGUGUCGUGAGAUGUUGGGUUAAGUCCCGCAACGAGCGCAACCCUAUCUUAUGUUGCCAGCACGUUAUGGUGGGGACUCGUAAGAGACUGCCGGGGUCAACUCGGAGGAAGGUGGGGACGACGUCAAGUCAUCAUGCCCCUUAUGUCCAGGGCUUCACACAUGCUACAAUGGCCAGUACAGAGGGCUGCGAGACCGUGAGGUGGAGCGAAUCCCUUAAAGCUGGUCUCAGUUCGGAUCGGGGUCUGCAACUCGACCCCGUGAAGUCGGAGUCGCUAGUAAUCGCAGAUCAGCAACGCUGCGGUGAAUACGUUCCCGGGCCUU
rnacentral:rRNA from 1 species